rnacentral:tRNA from 1 species
GCCGGAGUGCUGGAAACGCAGACAGCUCGGACUUAAAAUCCGAUGUUCCGUAAGGGACGUGUGGGUUCAAGUCCCACCUCCGGCA